UGGGGAAUAUUGCACAAUGGGGGAAACCCUGAUGCAGCGACGCCGCGUGAACGAAGAAGGUAUUCGUAUCGUAAAGUUCUGUCCUAUGGGAAGAUAAUGACAGUACCAUAGAAGAAAGCUCCGGCUAAAUACGUGCCAGCAGCCGCGGUAAUACGUAUGGAGCGAGCGUUGUCCGGAAUUAUUGGGCGUAAAGGGUACGCAGGCGGUUUAAUAAGUCGAAUGUUAAAGAUCGGGGCUCAACCCCGCAAAGCAAUGGAAACUGAUAAACUUGAGUAGUGGAGAGGAAAGUGGAAUUCCUAGUGUAGUGGUGAAAUACGUAGAUAUUAGGAGGAAUACCAGUAGCGAAGGCGACUUUCUGGACACAAACUGACGCUGAGGUACGAAAGCGUGGGGAGCAAACAGG
rnacentral:rRNA from 1 species